rnacentral:rRNA from 1 species
CUAACGGCUGAACCAGCAACUUGGGGGAACAUGUAGCUUAGGCUGGCUAUUUGCUUUUUUAUUUGUUUUAUUUUACAUUUACUGCUAACUUCGUUAUGCUUAAUGUGUUUUAAUUCUUUAUAGAUAGUGCUUACGGUAGAUAUCUAGUUUAAAUCAAAAUUACAAAGCUCCGACAGCGUAGCAGUACUAAUUUUCAUUGCUUUACUUUGUUAAAUUAAUGGAUUAUUUAGUUAAAUUAAUUGCUUUUAUACCCCCCCCCCCUCCCUGGGGAUAUAAAAUAACUUUGACUCGUUAUCAAUGCAAGCUUAUAGGAUCGAUUUUGUUGAUUAUAGUUCUAAGUAUAAUAGGAGGGAAGUUUGCAACCCUAGGAAGGGUGAUUAGCCUGAUAAGGGUGAUUCGCCUGAGUUAACCACUUAUUAUGAAAAGGUUAUAUUUAGGUGUCUUGACCAAAUUACGUGCCAGCAGUCGCGGCAAUACGUAGAAGACUAGUGUUGUUCAUCUUAAACAGGUUUAUUGGGUACCUAGACGGUGACUAUAGUCCACAACGGGAUACGUUUUCACUAGAGUUAGAUAUGAAAAGGUGAGAAUUUAAGGUGGAGAGUUGCAAUUUUAUGAUACUUUAAGGACUGAUAGCGGCGAAAGCAAUCUUUUAUCUAAUAACUGACGUUGAGGGACGAAGGCUUGGGGAGCGAAUAGGAUUAGAGACCCUAGUAGUCCAAGCAGACAAUUAUGAAUGCCAUAGGUUAGAUGUCUUUAAUCUAUAAAUGAAAGUGGAAGCAUUUCAUCUCAAGAGUAAUGCGGCAACGCUGGAACUGAAAUCAUUAGACCGUGUUUGAGACCAGUAGUGAAGUA